UACGAAGGGGGCGAGCGUUGUUCGGAAUUACUGGGCGUAAAGGGCGCGCAGGCGGCCUCAGGAGUCAGAUGUGAAAUCCCCGAGCUCAACUUGGGAAUUGCAGUGGAUACUGGCAGGCUGGAGUAUGGUAGAGGAAGGUGGAAUUCCCGGUGUAGCAGUGAAAUGCGUAGAGAUCGGGAGGAACACCAGUGGCGAAGGCGGCCUUCUGGACCAAUACUGACGCUCAUGCACGAAAGCGUGGGGAGCAAACAGG
rnacentral:rRNA from 1 species